rnacentral:rRNA from 1 species
GGACGAACGCUGGCGGCGUGCCUAAUACAUGCAAGUCGAACGAGCUCUCCCAAAUUGAUUUUAUGCUUGCAUAAAUGAUUUUUGGAUUCGGAGCGAGUGGCGAACUGGUGAGUAACACGUGGGUAACCUGCCCCGAAGCGGGGGAUAACAUUUGGAAACAAGUGCUAAUACCGCAUAAUUAGUUGGAACCGCAUGGUUCCAACUUGAAAGAUGGCUCUGCUAUCACUUUGGGAUGGACCCGCGCCGUAUUAGUUAGUUGGUGAGAUAAAAGCCCACCAAGACGAUGAUACGUAGCCGACCUGAGAGGGUAAUCGGCCACAUUGGGACUGAGACACGGCCCAGACUCCUACGGGAGGCAGCAGUAGGGAAUCUUCCACAAUGGACGAAAGUCUGAUGGAGCAACGCCGCGUGAGUGAUGAAGGUUUUCGGAUCGUAAAACUCUGUUGUUAAAGAAGAACAAGUGUUAGAGUAACUGUUAACACUUUGACGGUAUUUAACCAGAAAGCCACGGCUAACUACGUGCCAGCAGCCGCGGUAAUACGUAGGUGGCAAGCGUUGUCCGGAUUUAUUGGGCGUAAAGCGAGCGCAGGCGGUUUUGUAAGUCUGCUGUGAAAGCCCUCAGCUCAACUGAGGAAGUGCAGUGGAAACUACAAAACUUGAGUACAGAAGAGGAAAGUGGAACUCCAUGUGUAGCGGUGAAAUGCGUAGAUAUAUGGAAGAACACCAGUGGCGAAGGGCGGCUUUCUGGUCUGUUACUGACGCUGAGGCUCGAAAGCAUGGGUAGCGAACAGGAUUAGAUACCCUGGUAGUCCAUGCCGUAAACGAUGAAUACUAGGUGUUGGAGGGUUUCCGCCCAUCAGUGCCGCAGCUAACGCAUUAAGUAUUCCGCCUGGGGAGUACGACCGCAAGGUUGAAACUCAAAGGAAUUGACGGGGGCCCGCACAAGUGGUGGAGCAUGUGGUUUAAUUCGAUGCUACGCGAAGAACCUUACCAGCUCUUGACAUCUUCUGCCAACCCAAGAGAUUGGGCGUUCCCUUCGGGGACAGAAUGACAGGUGGUGCAUGGUUGUCGUCAGCUCGUGUCGUGAGAUGUUGGGUUAAGUCCCGCAACGAGCGCAACCCUUAUUAUUAGUUGCCAGCAUUUAGUUGGGCACUCUAGUGAGACUGCCGGUGAUAAACCGGAGGAAGGUGGGGACGACGUCAAAUCAUCAUGCCCCUUAUGAGCUGGGCUACACACGUGCUACAAUGGAUGGUACAACGAGUCGCGAAACCGCGAGGUCAAGCUAAUCUCUUAAAGCCAUUCUCAGUUCGGAUUGCAGGCUGCAACUCGCCUGCAUGAAGUUGGAAUCACUAGUAAUCGUGGAUCAGCAUGCCACGGUGAAUACGUUCCCGGGCCUUGUACACACCGC